rnacentral:misc_RNA from 1 species
AUAAUUUAAAAAAAAAAAUUCUAAAAAAAAUAGUAGUCACUGUCUUGUUCGAUUUGAAACUGCCAACUCAUACCACGCACUGUUGAAAGAUAUGAAACCCUUCAUACAGGUGGCUUGUUGGACAAAUCUACCAGUCAAACAAAUCACCAUACCGCCGCGUUCUAUGCAGAAGAGGCUUGAUAUGAGAGCUUACCAGUCGAGCAUCCUUCUAGUAGGUAGUUGCCUAGUUGGAACCAGGCUACCAGCACCCAAGAACACAAUAAUAAGAAAACUAAGAUUAAAUACCAUAUCUUAAGAGCCCUUUAAUAACCAAAUCAACACUUUGCAUAUUUACCACAGAAUCACUCCAUGCUCCCAUAGUCAUAAGCAUGUUGCCAUUGGAUACUUGCAGUGUUAGUUUCUUUGGACAAAAAUUUGAACCCAAAGGCAGCUAAAUUAUUUGCAAAUUGAGAAGCAUUUUGGUCAUAACAAGACACCCUUCGCCUAUUUUAAGACUAUUCGACCUUUUUCAACUUGUUUUCAGAAGUAAAAAAAUGGUGUAGAAGAUCAGAACAAGAUGACUCUCCAUUCAAUUUUUCGAAAGCUCUCCCAGGUUAGAGCUAUAUAUGCAAGUACCACUACUAACUGCAGAUCAGAGCUAAUUUGAACAUUUUCCUACUUUAUGCAGCGUUACGUGUUUGCUAUUGAGUGCAUAAAGGUUAACUACCAUGUGGAUGUACAUGUGUGUGAUCAAAAGAAGAAUUAUUUCUCUUAUUCAGAGAAACAACUAUAGAAUAUUUGCAGCAUAAAAUGAAUCUCACCUACUGCCAUGAGCAAGCAACUCUUCAGCUGAGCAUCCAACUAUAAAGUUGCUUCUAGAUGCAAAUAGACAAGCCUAGUCUAACAGCUAUGAGAAACAACUGAAAACUGGAAGUAGUAGGUGCAAACAGAUGAGCCAAACAAACACAUCUUAGGACAUUAGGAGAAAAAACAAUAACUCAUAGCUUUGAGCUAGAAUGAAAAAUCACAAUCUACUUCAAUGACAUCAAUAUAAGCCAUUUCAAUCAGAGGCUUAGAGCAACUACAGAUAGCUGGCAAUUCUACCUGAACUAAGCCCCCAAAUGGUACACAUUGAACCCUUCAACAAGUAUGCAGGGAAAACUCAAUGGCCACUCACUUUCUAAAGCUAUACAGAAGCGAAGACAUACUAAAAUUGUUUCAGGCGAGAUCAUGAAGCAACCUACAAAAGUUACACAGAAAAAUACAAGUCAUAUAUUAAGUAAUCCGAUUCUUCAAUUGACCAUAGCUUUUCAAGUUGCUAGGAACUAAUUGAAGAAAAUUUUGCUUCUAGUAACAUCCUCCAUCACUAUGUAAACAUUUCAUAACCCGAAGCAAAUAUGUACAUCCAUUGCCACUUCAACAUGAAUGUUCAAUCAAACUCAACCCACCGUUAAAGCUUGCAUGCUCUUUUUGUGUUUCUUUUUGCCCCUUUACUCUGUUUGAUAUAAUGAACACUUACCGAAAUAUUCACAUGCAAGGGCGAGGAAGGAUGGAGGGAAAGGCAUUUUCAAUUAGAACGAAAAAGUAUGCAUACGGAAAAUCAAUAAAAUUCUCAUGGAAUAAUUGAUUGACGAACUUACUGAGAUUACAUACAAGACCAAAACUAUAUCAAUUCAUGAGGACUCAAUGAUAAAAGAUAUUUAAAACUGCCAAUGUGUAUGAAAGGGUCAUUUUAAGAUGAGCAAAUUUUUGUAUAGCAUGGGUAAAAACAAAGGUACCAUCUUUUACCAAAUUUCUGAAAAAUGUAGUAAAGCCAGUAUUUUACUAAAAUGAGAAAGAGAGGAGGAUAGGGGGACAGGGAGACUUUGAUAGAAAAUUAAUAUUGGGGCACUGUAGUCUAGACAUUGAAACAUCCAAACAAAGAAGUGACACCCCAAGAUAAUUAUAACAUAUAUAUUGCUGUUUCAACAUUACAAACCAUCAAUACUGGCUUCGUGUAAGAUUCUACAGUAUAUUCAAUAUUUGUAUCAGGACUUCUAAAAAAAGUAGAUGUCCCAGCCAUAAGCCUUUUCUAACAACUGCAAAUCCCCCCUCUUUACUUACCUCAAUCACAAUGAAGAUGCCCAGUUUAAGAAUUGAUAAUGUUGAAGGAGAACUUUGAUAGCAGCUGUGGUAUUCCUGAUAUUAUCGGUCCAUAGGUCUUGUAAUUUUCAUGAAUCUGGCACAAUGGAACUGCAAGCAGUUUAAGGUUUUUUGGUACAAUGAACUUUCGACUCACUGGUAACCGUACAAGGUAGAGCUUUGUGCAUUCCUUGGGACUUUUUCCAUCAGGAGGCAUGUAUGGAUACAACAAAGUUUCAAAGUCAGGCCUCCACCACAUCCCAAGACAUUCUCCCACCUCCCAAUCAGUUUUGUCUUCAUUUACAGUGAGCUUUCUUGAUAGCUUACGUUUCAAUCCUUCAAUAUCUAGAAAGUCCAAAAAAAUCUCAGUUCAAUAAGCCCUUACAAGGAUAACCCACAGUCAAAGAAUGAUUGAUCUUUUCAAUUUCAUGUUUAUAGGAUAAAACAAAUAGAGAAAUACCUGAUUCACCAGGUCUUAAGCGACCACCAGGAAGCUUAAAGAUGGAAUUUUUUAUUUGCAAUAGCAAAAGAUGAGGAUGUUUGAACAAUUCAACCUGAUUUAAUAACAUUACAACAACUUCCCAAUUCAGUUUCAUCCCAAAUGCUAAGAUUUCUUAAUAACGGGGAUAAAAGUUGCCAAUAUAUCAAUCUCUAUCAUACAUACUGAAGUAUUAUCAAAUGGGAAUGCCUCUGGUAUGCCAUAAAAUUAACAUGGUACAUGAAGCAUUCAAGAGUGGCACAAUUAAUAAUACGAUUUCACAAAAUCAUCAAAGAACAAGAGCAAGAAAAGUAGAACUCAUAUUGAAAGAAAGCAGAAUAACAAACCAAAAUAACUGCCUCCACGCACGUCCUCAAUCCAUGAGCUUGAUAGCUAAUAUUCCAAAAACGGUUCAAAAUCAUUCUACAAAAGGAAAGUAACCUAAAAAAAUAACCCAUUAAACCAAAAAGAAGCUAAAAAGGGUACUUUGAUUUCAUCCUCUGGACACGAUCAGCUAAGGUCUCGUCUCUGAAUGGAAGAGGGUCUUUGGAUCCAAAGUAGUAGCUACUAAGAGGGUAUAUGUCUAUUAGAAAGCCUUGAUCACUGCUAGUUUCAUGGUUGUCAUUUAAAAGUAUUUGAUCACCCAUCUUGAAUUGCCUGAGAAAUAACACGAAGAGAGCUCAAAAAUAGAAAGAAAAGAGAGCAGCAGAAGUAUGAAGAAGGAGAAGAGGAAGAAGCAAAAAAGAAGAAGAAGAGAGAACGUAUCUUUUUGCUACAGUAUAAGAGUAGCACGUCAAAUGUAUUAGACCAAAAACGUGGCAGUGCAUAGGGGAUUAGCUUAAGCUUGUGGAUUUUGGAGGUACUGUAUUCUUCUGUUUCAGAUUUUUGACUCGGAGAGAGAGCGAGAGAGAGGAACGCUGGAUGGGUG